UACGUAGGGGGCUAGCGUUGUCCGGAUUCAUUGGGCGUAAAGCGCGUGUAGGCGGCCCGGUAAGUCCGCUGUGAAAGUCCAGGGCUCAACCCUGGGAUGCCGGUGGAUACUGUCGGGCUCGAGUCCGGAAGAGGCGAGUGGAAUUCCUAGUGUAGCGGUGAAAUGCGCAGAUAUCAGGAGGAACACCAAUGGCGAAGGCAGCUCGCUGGGACGUGACUGACGCUGAGACGCGAAAGCGUGGGGAGCAAACAGG
rnacentral:rRNA from 1 species